GGUAAUGAUGGUGGCUCACGAGGAGAGUUUACUGAGCUGGGAAGAGGCUUUCGAUCCUCCGGCUCCUCUACUUUACUAAAAACCUCGCCUUUGAAGAAAAAAAGAAGGGAUUUUUUAAGGAGGGAAAAGAGGCCGAGCGAGAGAGAUGGGAAUGGGGAUGGGAGCUCCUCAUUCUUAAAUGCCUCUCCUUUCUGAAGAAGGGAGUCAAUAUAAGGUUGAAAUAAAGGGAAAACAAGAUGGUGGAGCAGCGGUUCUUCUUCAACAAGGUGACCAUUCCUUGAUUUCGCUUUUUGAUGAAUUUUGUUUCGUUUUUCCUUGUCAUAUAUCUAUAGAAUCUCAGUGUUAUAGCUGCACUUCAUUGUGUCUGUAAAUGACUCUGAGAACAUUGCUUGAUCUGAACAAAAAAGAAGCUGCUUUGAGGUUUUUCCUUCUUCUCACCUUGACUGGUCAUUCUUGGAACUUUCUUCUUCUUUCCAAAUGUUUCUUGCUGGUUCUCAAGUUUGUUUAUCAUAUCAAGUUCCGGGAAAUAGUUACCAGUUAAAUCUGAAAAGCUGUCUUUGCCUGGGAUUUCACUCUGUAUUGUGAUUCAGGUGACCUAACUGAGCUAAUAAACACUUCAAUCUGUACCAAAUUAUUUCAUGACUUGCUUGUUUUAACUCGUCAUUAUUCAGUUCUUUUUUAUCACAUGAUUCUGUCAAAUUAUUCCCUUUAUUUUUAUUGUUUCAGUGCAUCAUUUAACACCAUCCUUUGUGCUACUGAAAUUUGGAACUACUAGUUAUGAGUGGUCAUUCUUUUCUGAUUAAUGCCACUUGAGUCUCACAUGGAGCUGUUUAUUUCAUAUGUCGUCAGCUAUACCUACUUAGCUAGUGUGGUACUUCCCAAAUUAAAAUCUUUGACAAGAAUAGCCAAUAGCUAGACUAUUUUUGUACAUGGUCUGGUUUUGUUUAUCCACCGACCAGUAUCUUUCUCUAAUAUUUAUUGCAGGAUGCACUCGUCAUAAAGGGACCAAAGAAAUCGCAUGCUUUGAGGAUGUUUAUGUUAGCUGCUGUGAUGAUAUGUGGUGUCUAUAUUUGCUCAGUAUGUUUAACGCAACUGGGGAUACAAAGCAGACCCAGAAAAUUGAAGAUGGAGAUAAUGGAAGCACCUUGCAAAAAUCCUGCCAUUCCAUAUUAUGAAAUCCCAUAUGUGCAUUAUCCAGAACCCAAUACUUAUAGCAGGUGUCUUUUGUUUUUCCUUUUGUCCUGGUAAUCUGUUUUAAUUUGGCUUUUGCCAGCAUUUUAACUAACCAUUCAUCAAUUCAUCAGGGAUGAAUGUGCAUGUACACCAGUUCGGUUUUUUUCUAUUGUGUCCAUGCAGAGAUCUGGAAGCGGAUGGUUUGAGACUCUUUUGAAUAGCCAUGUUAACAUUAGUUCUAACGGGGAGAUUUUCUCUUCCAAAGAAAGGAGAGGCAACAUAUCGGCAAUCAUAAGAGCAUUGGACAAAGUUUACAAUCUGGAUUGGUACAGCAGUGCUGCAAAAAAUGAUUGUACAGCUGCUGUUGGUUUGAAGUGGAUGCUUAAUCAGGUAUCAUUCAUCACUGAAAUAAUUUCUUUGGUGUGUUAUCUUUAUCUGAUGCAGGCUUAAGUUUCUUGCUAUGUGCUUGUUCAAUUGAAACCUGACAUUUAUGCAAUCGGAGAAGUUGAUUUGUGUUUCCAUAGAAAUUUGACCAAACAUUUCGAGACAUAAAUACACACACACACUUCGUACAGAUACAAAAUCUAACUACACUAUUAUUCCAACUGGAAAUCUUUGGUCAAAUUUCUAUGGAAACACAAAUCAACUUCUUCUAACUUGAACCUCAGUUAACAAGGUUCAUCUUCUUCUUGACCAUUUGUUGAAUUUCCAAAAAUGAAUGCUGAUGAAUCAUAAUUUUUGGAAUCAAACAGUUGAACGUAGAGUUGUUAUUAGAUACGAUGUAGGGAUUAUAUUUGGGCCUUGAAAGUUGGUGCAACUGUGGAUGCAUGUUUCUUGAAAUUUUCAACUUAGAGCAGUUAGAAAGCAAUUGAAGCUUGAUGAGAAAAUUGGUGGAUCACAUUCUAUGAAUAAACCUUGAACACAGUAAUUGGUUCGAGGUAAUAAAGCUAAUUUGGCAACUAGACUGAGAGGUGCUUCAAGCAAGAGUUAACAUGUUCCAUUGACCAAAAACCAGGUAUUCCAUAAUUCAACAUUUUGAGGACAAGUUGAAACUGAAAAAGUGCUAAUGUAGUUCCAUUAGUUAAGCCUGUCAGUUUAAGAUGCAAACUGAAGGUACAAAAGCAUGAUGUACUUGGUGUUUUCCCGAUACAUGAGAACAGAACAAUAUUAGUCAUUGAGUAUACUAUCUGACUUGAAUAUUCAAAAACAUUUUUGGUCUAGACAGGUAUGUAUAAGGUUAUUAUUACUGAAAAAUUCAAGCAUUCUACUAAACAUUGUACCCAACUGAUGCUGGAAAUUUGAUGGUUCAAACUGUCUGGAAAGUGGCACCUAUUGGCAUUUAGAGUUUGGAUUUAAGUAGGAUUCUAUUAGUCCAAUUUUUAUUAGGAUUAGGAAGUAGUUGGUCUUUGGUAAGUAUUGUUUUUCCUUUGUUGAUUUGGAAUAGAAGCAUGAUUAAGCAUGAAUCACUGUGAAGCAACAGGCUUCUCGGUAACAGCAGCUGUACUGCAUCAAAAGAUAUUAGAAGAUAAUAUGGAUACUACAAGGUUUAUGAUCUAAUCUUUAGACUUUAGAGGACUCUAAAACUUCAGAAAUGUAAUAAUGAAAUCCAUGAAAUAGUAUAGAUUGUGGACUCAUGAAAUAGUAUAGAUUGUGGACUCGUGUCUUCCUAGCUGUAAUAUUAUACUGUAAACCCUCUUGAUUCUGCAGGACAGAAUUUCUUGUGUACAACUUGCUCAGCUUGUUUGAUUGACUUUUAAGGACAUACUGUAAAUCUGACUCUGACAUCUCCAGUUUUUAUGGAUAUUACAGGGCCUUAUGGAGAAUCAUGUAAAGGUAGCCAAAUACUUCAGUCGAAGAGGGGUCUCUUUGAUUUUCCUGUUCAGAAGAAACUUGCUUCGUCGUUUGGUUUCGCAACUCGCAAACGAUCAUGAUCGCAACACUAAGCAAUUAAAUGGGACUCAUAAAGCUCAUGUCCAUUCAACAAACGAGGUCAGUUCUUCUCAUCAACAACCUUCCACUUUAAAGUCCAUACUCUUUCUUCACCUUGGUGAUUGCAAUGCAGGCCAACAUACUAGCGAGAUACAAGCCCAGGAUCAACACCUCAGAAUUGAUUUCAACUCUCAGGCACACACACAAGUUCAUCACCGAUGCCAUGGGGCACUUCAGGAACACCCGGCACAUUGUUCUGUACUACGAGGACCUUGUCCAGAAUCGAACUGUGAGUUGUCUGCAGCUCUUCGUUGCUCAAAGCUACAUCUUGCACUAUAACCCAUGUAUCAUUUUUCUUCUCCAGAAGCUGAUGGAUGUCCUGGAGUUCCUCAGAGUCCCUCCAAGGAAGCUGGUUAGUCGACAUGUAAAGAUUCACACAAGACCACUGCCCAAGUUGGUCGAGAACUGGGAUGAUGUUUACAGAUCUCUUGAAGGAACGGAGUAUAGGAGCUUCUUGAAUGCCAAUUACGAUUUAUAGAUUGUUCUUCAUUUGAUCCUUGUUGUAGCUGGAUUCUCCAGGACACAGCCACAUUAAGGUAAGCUGAUCCAACAAGCUCGGCCAAGUGGGCUGGGUCAACGGGCUGGUCUCAUGGGCUGCAUAAAAGCCCAGUAUGGGCUGAUUAUGGGCCGACUUAUGGCCUCGGCUAUUGGACCUUGAGAAUGGAUUAAUGGGCUGAUAUUUUCGGGUGGGCAAAUGGGCUGAGUGUUGGGUUAGGUAAUGGGUUAUAUAUAUAUAUAUAUAUAUAUGUAUAUAUAUAUAUAUAUAUAUGUAUAUAUAUGUAUAUGUAUACAUAUGUAUACAUAAGUAUAUACAUGCAUACGUAUACAUAUGCAUAUAUAUGAAGAGAAAUUAUCUUUCAGCUUCAAACCAAAACCAUUCAACUUAGUCUGAUCCUUUCAGCUGAAAUCUAAUCACAGCCAGCAGGAAUCAAUAGACGGAUGACCAUUUCAACGUAAUGAUUUCUGGUUUCCGCAAUCUACACCAAGGAGUUCCCUGUCUGGGAGCCACAGGCGAUCCGAGUCGCAGUUCCUCCACUGCCUUACCGAGGCCAAAAAAAAAAGAGAAAGAAAACAAAAAUUGUACUUAUCUAAUAAAUAAAUAUGUAGAUAUUGUGCUCAUAUCCGAUUCGUUGUUUGUAGUUGCUUCUGGCUUUUGCUGCGUCUUCCUACCCUCAGCUGCUCUCCAAAGAGCUGAGGGCGAGGGCGAAAGCGAGGGAACAGAGGGCGAACGAGGGAUAGAUAGCGGGUAGGAGGGAUCGAGGAAGAAGAGAAGGUGGGCGGGGAGAGGGAUUUUGGUUUGAUGGCGGACGCUUUCUGCCCCGACUGCAAGCGGAGCACGGAGGUGGUGUUCGACCACUCGGCGGGGGACACGGUGUGCUCCGAGUGCGGGCUGGUGCUGGAGGCGCACUCCAUCGACGUGACCUCGGAGUGGCGCACCUUCGCCAACGAGUCCGCGGACAACGACCCCGUUCGUGUCGGCGGGCCCACCAACCCCCUCCUCACCGACGGUGGCCUCUCCACCGUCAUCUCCAAGCCCAACGGCGCGCAGGCCGAGUUCCUCUCCUCCUCCCUCGGCCGGUGGCAGAGCCGCGGCGCCAACCCCGACCGCAACCUCAUCCUUGCUUUCAAGACCAUCGCCACCAUGGCCGACAGGUCCCCCCUUCCUCCAUCUUCCCAUUUAUUGAGCUGCUAUUUUGGAUUGAGCGGUGCCGUGUUUCGCGAGGGAAUGUAAAAAAGAAAAAAGGCCUUUUUUUUCUUUUUUUGAAAUAAUGACUAAAAGAGAGAGGAUCUUUGGGCGCGAACUCAUGAAUCUGAUUCUAGUGUUCUUUUAUGACUGUUUUCAGGGAAAAUCUUUUUGUAUUUUUUAGUAAUCAAAGUGGGAUAUUUUCUAAACUAGAAAAUGGAUUUUUGAGUUGAGCACAUUUCUGAUUAUAAUAGAUUUUUUUUUUCAAAAAUAAUUAUCAUCAAGCGAUAAUAACCUUAAAACAUCCAAGGACUUGUCUUUGACUAGAAUCUGCUGCUGCUGUUCAUGACACAUCCAUGGGCUUGUACAAUUUUGCUUCAAUAUCUGAGUUUAAAAUCAUCAUCAAUCAUCAUCCAUGGGCUUGAUUGGUUCUUCCUCAACCAUAAAUACAAAAACAACUUUCAUCCUUCUCAAUACUUAUCAAUUGUGGAAUGCUUCAUGUAACUUUUGAAUUUGUGAUAUCCUUUCUAUUUUUUAUCUACCUAGACUUAAGCAUGUGUCUUUUCCCUCUGGAUCAUGACCUAUGGACAUCGAGAUACAGUUAGUUUGUGCUAUGCAUUUCUUUGAAUGGAAUGAUUACUAAAGCAGGUGCUGACAUUUUUUCCUUUUUGGUCCCAGGUUGGGCCUUGUUGCCACUAUCAAGGUACAAAUUUUGCCUUUCUGUAGUUUUUUUUUUGUUUUAUGACCCUUUUCCUUGGAAUAAAUUUUUUAGAGCACGAAUCUUGCUGGGAAGCUUCAAUCCGUGAUAAUUGGUUGAGUUGGUUGUCUUGCGAAUAAAUUAUCACUAACAAAUCGAAUCAAUUUUACUAUGUGCCUGGCUUUUUUUAAUCAGUUGGUUAUUUCAACGGCCACAAUGUCAUGUCAUUUAUUUUAGCCAUGUGUCAUCCUUUUGUGUUGACAAAAAAAGGUAGUAGACUGUAGGACUUCAUUAUCAUUCGCGAUGUCAGAUGAAAACAAAGGUAAGGCUUCGUGGGCCUUUUAGUUUCAUCCAAGUAAAAAGAUGAUAACAAAAACUAGAAGAGGUUUGUUUUGUGGUUAUGAUAUAUAUGUUAAAGCAAGGGACUUAUGUUGGUAAUGGUAUCCUUAUCUGUCAAGAGUGGUUGAGUUUCAAUCAACAGUUCAAUUUGUUGUGCAUGGAAAAUAUAUUAUCUAAUUUGGAGAAUUAAUGAAUAUUGGUCUGUGUUUUAGUAGAAUUGUCUAGCUUGAAUAAAUGCUAGGUGGUUGAUUCAUUGGUCCGGUUAAGAGGCUGUCAAUAUUGAUGCCAUGUAGACUGUUUAGCGAUUUUCAUUCUUGGACGUUGUAGAAAGCAACAGUGCAGAGUUUCUGAUGCUUUUUAUUAGUUCUUCCUUAUUUCAUAUCCAUACAAACUGCUUGGGUCCAAUGGUUGGACCUAGAGAAAAUGUCUAUUAUUGGGAUGUUAUUUUUAAUGGUUUACUUGCGGGUCUCGGUUAUUGGAUGAUAAACCCCUAGCAAGUAAUUUAAGCAAUUUUAAUUGGCGAGAGCUUGACUGGAAAUUUAAAGGUUUGGUAGCUUCACCUUCUAAAGGCGGCAGGGUAUUUGAGGUUUACUCUCUUCACUGCAGAGGAAUCGGAGUGGAGGAUGAUCAUCGAUAUUCUUAGGUCACUUAUGACAGAUGUAGGGUGCUUUAGUGCUCAUUUUGAACUUUUGUGGACAUGGUAGUAAUGUUUUUAGGGCCCAUCGGAUGGAGACUCUAUGGCUUGGGUUAUUCUUGCAUAGUGAAAAGCUUUAUUGUGUUGAGAAUGUACAAUUAAACUAAUUGGAAACUGUUAUUUUUGCAUGCUGGACAAAUGGGACUUGGUUGAUUAAUUAUGAUGUGUUGAUAUUUUAGUUAAGUCUUGGAUCUUAAAAUUUUUGCUUAGUUUAUUCAGUUCUGGAUUAGACUUUGUUUUCGGUUCUUCAAUUGUUGGAUAAUUUAUAAUCGGGAAGUAUAAUUUCGUUGAAGUCCCCCCUGUACUGUUUUGUAUUGUUUGGUGUUAACUUACAAGUUCCUGCACCAAUUAUUGUUCUCUAACUUUCAUUUUUAUUAUGUCCAUGCUAAGACAAGUCACUGGACCCUUAAUCGAUAAUCAUUUUAAUAAAAUAUUAUAUUGCAAAAUUGAUGCUCAUUGAUACCAUCAAUAUAUGCACUUGAUGAGCACUUAUCCAACAUGUAAAAAGCCAGAGAUACAUACAUUCUGGCUCCUUUCUUACACAAUGAAUGAACACUGCAUACAUGCAACAUUUGUUUGUCCUGGCAGCAUGCAACCAGGGGUGAAAUAUGUUUCUGCUACGUGCUGCCUCCAUUUCUCCAGGAAUACCAAAAUAUAUGGAGAGAUACAUUUGUUUGUCAUCGUAGAAUGAGAUGGUUUGUUAUAUUCAAUUGGGCCUAUACAUAUGUUAAGAUGUUCAUGGUCUGAUCGAAAGCUCAGUUCUGGUGGUGCAUGUGCUACUGGCAUCACCAGCCUUUAAGCUUACAAAAUAACAAUUUUGUAACAUGAACAUUGCACCAGUCAUUUCAUCAGAAAAUCAGGGUGAAAUAUGUUAUAUCCAUCAUUUUAUGUUCAUGCUGGGGUUGUGGUAGGGUUUCAUACAGAAUUUUGCGAUGCAACUUUUAGUAUACUCUAAGCAUCAGAUCAUUUCAAUCUUUAAUUAAUUCUUCAUUUUAGGUUCUUUGUCAUGUAUGUAAUACCUGUAUUAGACAUGUUCUCUUCAAGUAUUUGUUCAUCUCUUUUUCUUUCAUGCUCCAUGGAUUAUACAUGAUUUAUUAUGUUGCUUUGGUAAUUAUGUGCUUUCUGAAAUUAUACAUUAGUAUUUGCUUUGUCAAUAGCCUUUAUGGAAAUCAUUGUUGGCAGGUAACUAUUGACUUGGCUGGCGAGGUUCUUGUGCAUUUUUUGUUUGGUCCCUUACUCCUUAAUGACCAUCUUAUGUCUUCUUGAAGGACCGGGCCAAUGAGAUAUACAAGAAAAUUGAAGAUCUUAAGUCUAUUAGAGGGCGAAAUCAAGAUGCAAUUUUAGCUGCUUGUCUAUACAUUGCUUGCCGACAGGAAGACAGGCCUCGAACUGUGAAGGGUUUGUAGCUUAGUUUUAGUUUCUUUGCUGAUUAUUAUUUUCUAUUUUGAUAUUUGUUAGUUUAACUGAUAUGAUUCCCUCAACUAGAAAUUUGCUCUGUUGCCAAUGGAGCUGCAAAGAAAGAAAUUGGUCGGGCUAAGGAGUUCAUUGUAAAACAGCUUGAAGUUGAGAUGGGACAGUCAAUGGAGAUGGGAACAAUUCAUGCUGGAGAUUUUCUGGUUAGUUUAAGCAUUGUUAGUUUGAUUAGUUACAUUCUAUUUAAUUGAAAUUUAACUUCGUCUGAGCUGUCUUUCGCUGUUUAUUUUUCUGGUUUCUUUUCAUUUUUUAGCACAUAUUCUUUUUGUUUAACCUGCCUAUCUGUUUUGGCCUUGAAUUUACAGAGACGUUUUUGUUCACAUCUUGGUAUGACAAAUCAAGCAGUUAAAGCUGCUCAGGAAGCAGUCCAGAAGUCAGAAGAGCUUGAUAUAAGGUAUUGAUUUUAAAAUGCUCUUAUAAGAAUAGUAGACAACUUCUUUGGAUCUUUCUAGUCUUGUUGGUCUAAUUAGUUAUUAUUUUGAAAGUAAAACGUCAUCUGUUAUGUAAUGAUUUCUUCAGCAGCUAUUCAUUAGUUGUUAUUUAUGUGUUCUUCCUCUCUAAGCUGAAUUGCUUGCAUUUUGGAUGUUCAUGUAUUGUACCUGAAGAGCUUGAGAUCUAUAACAUAUCAUAAACCAGGCACCUGGUGGGCCAUGUACUUGCUGCUGGCACAUUAUGAUAGGAUAAUGGUGUCGUACAUGCUAUAGACCCUUUACCUAAUUCACUCUGGUAACUAUGGAAUUUGAUAAAUACAAGUUGUUAAAAAAGUCAGAAUUUGUACUUGUUUGACAUGAAUGUUAGAUGUCAUAGUGAAGAACAGGGUUUUUUUUUUUUGCAGAAUGUUAACACUGUCUCUUAAGUUUUAUGUGUGGAACUGUAGCCUUUACAAGAGGGAUUAGAUCCUGACCGCAGAAACCUUGUGCAGGAGAAGUCCUAUAUCAAUUGCAGCGGCUAUCAUUUACAUGAUAACACAGUUAUCAGAUGACAAGAAGCCUCUCAAAGGUUUUGCAUUCCUGUUUUCACGUCUGUCGUGGUUCACAUGUUCCGUGUCUUUAACAUAUUUAUGCUUGCAGACAUAUCCCUGGCAACCGGAGUAGCAGAAGGCACCAUCCGGAACUCCUACAAAGAUCUCUAUCCUUAUUCUUCAAGGAUCAUUCCAACCUCCUUUGCAAAAGAGGAGGACCUAAAGAACCUCUGCAGCCCAUAAUUUGUUCUCAGAAGAGUGUCCGAAAACCUGAUACAUCUUCAGGUACAAUCAUACAUCCAGUUAUGGAUGGUAUGAUAGUAUCGACUGAUGCAAUGUUUAGUUGUGAACUUGAUCUGACCUGUUAUUUAUCUAGGAACUUCUCGACGAAGGUGUUGUAUCUGAUUUGCAAAGAAUUGAGCUUUCUAAACUGAUGCUUCAAUCUGCUGUAGGUGUUUAACCUAGAUGAAAACGCCAACAUAGUGAGGUAGACAACUUUUCAUGUAUCACUUGUAUGAAUGAAGUUUGUUGCUGUCGAUUCGAAAGCAUGUAAAGUUCAAGUUGCUGGCUAUAAAGCGUUGUCAUUAGAUAGGAUUCGAGUGUUUCAGUCAGUAUUCUCGUAAUUUUUAUUGAUUCCAAGAAUCCAAAGUGGGAAUUCCGUUCUUGGAUGUUUGUAUAUAUCCCAAGAGAAUCUAGUGUUUCUAUCUGGACUUUGUGGGAUGCUUUGUGCACUUUCUAAGGUUUUGUUUGGUUCAAAGUGUAUUUGAGUUCAUUGUUUGCUGAUUAGUAACCAUUACUCUUUUAGAGUCACUGGUUAAGAUUAAUUCAAAUAAUUAAGAUUAGAUAAAAUAAAAUAAAAAUAGAUUUAAAUAAAUAGAUUAGGAUGAAAAAAUGUUAAGAUAAAAUAAAUUUUUUUUAUUAUUUAAAAAAAUUUAUAUUAUAUAUUUUUAAUCAAUAUAAAUAGGUGUUCUUGAAUCAAUCUAAAAUAUUAAUAGGAAUACAUCGAUUACAAAUGAGGGAAGACUAGUAGAUCCAAAAAAAAAAAAAAAAAAAAAAGAUAGCAUACAUUGGAGUAAGUGUCCCUAAUCUACUGUUUCUUAUCUUCAAAAGUGAAAAUUAUUAAUUUUAGGUUAUUAAAAUAAAAUUUUUAUUUAUUUUAUAUGGAUUAUGAAAUUUGGUAAAAGUUUUUUUUUUUCAGUAUGAUCUAUAAGAUCCUAUUAAAGAUAAAAAAUAUUAGAUGAGUGAGAAUAUACAGAAAGAUGCAAGAGCCCCCUAUAUGUUAUAACAAGCAAUAGUUGAGCUUUUAUUUUUCUACAGUAUCAACAUCAACAGAAGCUUAGAAAAUAUUAAAAAUUAUGUUUAGAGGCGCAGACAAAAUAAAAUGUUUAAAACUUCAAAUUCUUCGAUAUGAAUUCAAAACUCUUAUGAUAAAUUUUUUUGAAUCUAUCAUUGAUUUCUUCUCAAAAAUAUUUUUUAUUAUGAAUCAAACGAGAUCUGAGGAAAAUAUAAAAGAUCAAACUAUAGUAGAAAAAGUUUUAUGAAGUUUAUGUCCAAAAUUUGAUAUGAUUUUUGUUGCUAUUGGAAAAAGCUAAAAAUACAAGUACAUUGUAUAUUGAUGAAUUAAUGAGCUCUCUUUUAGUUCAUAAACAAACAAUAAACAAAUCUUCAUAUGAAACUUUAGAACAUGCUCUUCAAAUGAUAAAUCGGAAUAAGGACUAAAAGAAAAUUUUAGAAACUAAAUAUCAAGGGAAAGAUCAAAAUAACAGAGUUCAUGAUCGAUCAAAUGAGGGUCAGAGGAACUCGAUUGAAGGUAACAAAAAAACCAAUCGAUGUUUUUAUUGUAAAAAAAUGAACAAAUUAUUGGUUCAAAAAUAAAAAUCCAAAUAUUUCUCUUUGCUCUUACUAUAAAUAAUAUGAUCAUCUUCAAAAAAAUUGUUGGAAUAAAAAUCAAAUAAAUUAUCAUGAGAAAAAUAAUGAUGAAAAAAGGGAUGAAAAAAAUAUUUUCUUUAUAGCAUGUGAUGAAGAAUAUUUUAGAUAUGUUUGGUUUUAGAUAGUGGAUACAGUAAUCAUAUGAUAAGGGGAUAAAAAUUUAUUCCAAAAGCUUGAUGAUUCAAUCAGAUCUAUAGUAUAAAUGAAAAAUGAUAGUAAAGUUAAGGAAAAGGAAUAGUUAUCAUGAACACUAAAUCUAGUAAAAAAAUUAUUGAUGAUAUGAUGUUUAUUCUUGAUUUAAAUUAAAAUCUCAUUAGUAUAGGACAACUAAUGAGAAAAAAAUAUUAUACUAUUUUUUUUGAUAAAAAAUGUUUGAUUUAUGAUAAGAAGCUUGGAAAAUUGAUAGCAACCCUAAGGAUAACAAAAAACAAAGAAUUUUUCUUGUUAUUUUCGGAUUUCUCCAUGCUACUAUUACUAAUGAGAAAAGGAUAUUAUAUAAUUUUUUAUAAUAAAAAAUGCUUGACUUAUGAAAAGAAAAUUAGAAAAUUGAAAGCAAUUGUGAGGAUGACAAAAAAUAAAGUGUUUCUCUUAUUAUCUUCGGAUUUCUCCUUACAUACUACUAUUAAUGGAAUAAAAGCUAUCAUCAUCUAAAUUUUGGUGGGUCUAUAUAAACUUUCUCACUUGACGAAUUCUACAAAAUUCAAACUGAUAACAAGAUGCCUCAGAACAAGACUAAAAUUAAUGAAAGUUUUGAUGAGAGCAAUGAGAAGCCACAAUUCAAGAAACGAAAAGUUUCGGAUUAUGUUCCAUCUACUAUUGGUAAACAUGUUAUGAAAACUAUCAAAAUGGAGAGCAUUAACGGUAAUGAAGAUGAUGAUGACAGCUUUGAAGAAAGUUAUGAUCAUGAAUAUUUAAAAAAGCAAGAAGCUAAGAAGUCUCAAGCAUCAAAAACUAGCAAUGGUUCUAAUGAGUCUUUUGAGGAAAGUGAAAAUGAGCAACUAUUGAAGAUUUGGAAAAAGGUUAAAGAUGUAAAAAUGAUGGACGCAGCACGAAAAACUAGUUUGUCGAUAUCUUCACAAAAGCUUUAGCAAAAGAAAAUUUUUAUUCCGAAAACAACUUCAAGUUACAACUAUUUGAAUUAAGAGAGUAUGUUAAGAUUAAUUCAAAUAAUUAGUAUUAAAUAAAAUAAAAGAUAAAAAAUUAUAUUUAAAUAAAUAGUUUAGGAUGAAAAGGUUUAUUAAGAUAUGAUAGAUUUUUUCAUUGUUUUAAAAAAUAUAUAUUUUAUCUUUUAAUCAAUCAAUAUAAAUAUGUGCUUUGGAUCAAUAAAAAACACUGUCCCGUCUCCUAGUCUCUUUAUCUAACAUAGGAUCAUUGAAGUAUAGAUCAAUAUGUCCCGUCUAUUGGCCAAAUUUUUAUGGUCUCUGUCACGAUCACUUAAUAUUGUUCAAAUUAGAAUAUGUUUGAACUCUCAUUAUUUGAGGAAAUCUUAUCUGCUAUCAGUGGACACACGAAAGCCGAAGCAUCACUUAUCAUAUCCGAAAUCCUGCAAUAUUCUGUAUCUUAAGACACCACCGUCACAAUGUGUGACAUGAACAGCGAGUGAGCGACGAAGUUGACGAGCGAGAACCCCACGAUAAGCUGCAUCGCACUCUGCAAUCUUUGCUUCGUCUUCCGAGUUCUACUGUGCGAAGGAAGAAGAGAACCCACAGAGACACGAGCAUGGCUCUGCACUAUGUCAGGCUCUCAAGUCUCUACCAAGUGCAGCUCUUCGCGCAGUCUUUGGGGCACGAACACAUCCCGCCGCAACUCGACAAAGCCGCAUGUGAUCGCCUCCAUCGCCAUGUCGCCCCCGUGCAUGAGGAAUCUAUCGGACGACUUCAGGCUGCAUGAAGACAACACUUACCCAGGGCUGCGGAUCCUCCAUCCUACAUGAUAACCUGUUCCUUUCGCCAGCUUUUGCCAUAUUGGAAUCUUUAUUUGGGGUUUCGAGCUCCUUCACAAGUCUUGAAGGGAAUCCGCGUGGAAUCUCUUACCGCAAGCAACUGUUCGACAGAAUGUCUCAAUGGUAGCUAGAGAAUAUCCCGCACCUUCCCUGGACCAGGGAGCCUUAAGAUGGAAUUGCUUUUAAGUACAGCUAUAAAAGAUUCUCCAGUCUCCAGGUUCUGGUUGGAAAGCUGGUUCUGUCAAGCAAGGCUUUACUCGGAUCUCACCGGAAACGUCCACUGAAACUAGUUCUAUAUAUAUUCUCAGAGGCUAAGCUGUCCGGUGAGCAUGUGAACGAUGAACUCAAAGCCAACCUGUUAUCAGCCUUCUUCUUCUGUCUCUUUCUUCCCCCUUGCAAUGACCUUCCUUCGCUUCAAGAAGGACCAUGUUUUGUUGCAGCACAUCUGGGAACAAAGCGUAGUGUCUUUGGGACUGUGGUAUAAGUCUCUACGUAUACGGUGAGACUUCUCGGCUCCAACCAUCUCCGUUUCGGGUCCUCCAAAGCUCGAUCUACACUGCCUACUCUGCUACUUGGGAGAGCAAAUGAGAGCUUCCUGAUUCUAGUUCACAGGUGAUGAAGACAACAUGCAAAGAAUUAGUACCACUUUAAAUGAAUCGACCUGGUAAAUGUUGUAGUCUGCAUGUGAUUCUUGGAUGCUUGAAUUAAUAACCAAGCAUCUGUGACAACAAUGUACUGUGAAAUGUAAAUUUCUAAUGCUAGAAGAGCAUCAAAACCAAUACAAUAGGUAGGUUGUCACAGAGGCCACAUGCAAACUAAUUAAUGACAUGCUUAUAUUUUGGCUUUUAUUUUUGUGCUCAACAUGUUUUAAGAGAAUCUGCAGAGCACCUAUAAAUAGGGGCUAGGAAGAGGAAACGAAUCAUCUCAUAUUCAAUCUCCAUCUCCAUCCCUAUCUUUCCUGCUCCCUCUCUGUGUUGUCUCUCUGAGACUGUCCCAUCCUCAUGGCUGUUAGCAAGUCCAUGCUGUGUGUUGUUCUUAUUCUCAUUAUCCUCGGGGUGGCUUUCACUGCUGAGGGCAGACCUCUGAAGGAAGACAAGACCAAGACCAAGACCAAGACCAGUAUGUGCAGCAGAUGCUGGACACAGAGUGACAUGAGUUCCAAAGGAACGGUGGAAGGCACCAUUGCACCCUCUGAAGAGAAUGGCAAUGGCAGCGGACGGUUGGUGGGCAACGACGAUGUUCGACCUACAAACCCAGGACACAGCCCCGGCGUGGGCCACUAAUCUGGCUCGAUCGAUCCAACGUGUGUGAUUUAAGAUGCUUGGUUUCUCAUCUUUCGUAUAUAAGUUUCAUCAUCAUCAUCAUCAUCAUCAUCAUUUAUCUCCUUCUAAUUAUUGUAUUGUGUUCAUCUGCGUUUAGAUCAGGUUUGGCUUUUCCUUAUCGCACUGUAUUACUUUUGUUUCACCGCAAUUUCAUUCAGUCCGAACGAUUGUUGUCUGAAGAAACACUAUCGAUGAUUGUGGUUAUGAAAGCUCGAGUUUAUUGUGUUUUGGCAUUUAA
rnacentral:lncRNA from 1 species